GUAAUAGCUCACUGGUCGAGUCGGCCUGCGCGGAAGAUGUAACGGGGCUAAACCAUGCACCGAAGCUGCGGCAGCGACGCUGAUGCGUUGUUGGGUAGGGGAGCGUUCUGUAAGCCUGCGAAGGUGUGCUGUGAGGCAUGCUGGAGGUAUCAGAAGUGCGAAUGCUGACAUAAGUAACGAUAAAGCGGGUGAAAAGCCCGCUCGCCGGAAGACCAAGGGUUCCUGUCCAACGUUAAUCGGGGCAGGGUGAGUCGACCCCUAAGGCGAGGCCGAAAGGCGUAGUCGAUGGGAAACAGGUUAAUAUUCCUGUACUUGGUGUUACUGCGAAGGGGGGACGGAGAAGGCUAUGUUGGCCGGGCGACGGUUGUCCCGGUUUAAGCGUGUAGGCUGGUUUUCCAGGCAAAUCCGGAAAAUCAAGGCUGAGGCGUGAUGACGAGGCACUACGGUGCUGAAGCAACAAAUGCCCUGCUUCCAGGAAAAGCCUCUAAGCAUCAGGUAACAUCAAAUCGUACCCCAAACCGACACAGGUGGUCAGGUAGAGAAUACCAAGGCGCUUGAGAGAACUCGGGUGAAGGAACUAGGCAAAAUGGUGCCGUAACUUCGGGAGAAGGCACGCUGAUAUGUAGGUGAAGCGACUUGCUCGUGGAGCUGAAAUCAGUCGAAGAUACCAGCUGGCUGCAACUGUUUAUUAAAAACACAGCACUGUGCAAACACGAAAGUGGACGUAUACGGUGUGACGCCUGCCCGGUGCCGGAAGGUUAAUUGAUGGGGUCAGCGCAAGCGAAGCUCUUGAUCGAAGCCCCGGUAAACGGCGGCCGUAACUAUAACGGUCCUAAGGUAGCGAAAUUCCUUGUCGGGUAAGUUCCGACCUGCACGAAUGGCGUAAUGAUGGCCAGGCUGUCUCCACCCGAGACUCAGUGAAAUUGAACUCGCUGUGAAGAUGCAGUGUACCCGCGGCAAGACGGAAAGACCCCGUGAACCUUUACUAUAGCUUGACACUGAACAUUGAGCCUUGAUGUGUAGGAUAGGUGGGAGGCUUUGAAGUGUGGACGCCAGUCUGCAUGGAGCCGACCUUGAAAUACCACCCUUUAAUGUUUGAUGUUCUAACGUUGACCCGUAAUCCGGGUUGCGGACAGUGUCUGGUGGGUAGUUUGACUGGGGCGGUCUCCUCCUAAAGAGUAACGGAGGAGCACGAAGGUUGGCUAAUCCUGGUCGGACAUCAGGAGGUUAGUGCAAUGGCAUAAGCCAGCUUGACUGCGAGCGUGACGGCGCGAGCAGGUGCGAAAGCAGGUCAUAGUGAUCCGGUGGUUCUGAAUGGAAGGGCCAUCGCUCAACGGAUAAAAGGUACUCCGGGGAUAACAGGCUGAUACCGCCCAAGAGUUCAUAUCGACGGCGGUGUUUGGCACCUCGAUGUCGGCUCAUCACAUCCUGGGGCUGAAGUAGGUCCCAAGGGUAUGGCUGUUCGCCAUUUAAAGUGGUACGCGAGCUGGGUUUAGAACGUCGUGAGACAGUUCGGUCCCUAUCUGCCGUGGGCGCUGGAGAAUUGAGGGGGGCUGCUCCUAGUACGAGAGGACCGGAGUGGACGCAUCACUGGUGUUCGGGUUGUCAUGCCAAUGGCACUGCCCGGUAGCUAAAUGCGGAAGAGAUAAGUGCUGAAAGCAUCUAAGCACGAAACUUGCCCCGAGAUGAGUUCUCCCUGACCCUUUAAGGGUCCUGAAGGAACGUUGAAGACGACGACGUUGAUAGGCCGGGUGUGUAAGCGCAGCGAUGCGUUGAGCUAACCGGUACUAAUGAACCGUGAGGCUUAACCUU
rnacentral:rRNA from 1 species